CCCCCCUGCCCGCCCUGUGAGGAGCUGCGUUAGCCAGGCCGGCCGGCGGCAUGCUCGGUUCUGUGCUCAGAAUUCGUUAAUCCCCUCAGGUGAUUUGUUCUCGCCUCCCUCCCCCGGACGGGGGAAGCGGUGGGGUCAGAGCGGCGUCCUGCUGUGGCCUGAGAGUCACAUCACACCAUCUGCAAGUCACCUCCCUAGUCUUUCUGGACCAUCCACAGCAGAGCCUGGGAAGAUUUUCCACCUGUGAUUCUCAGAGGAAGCUAGUCAGUUCCCAGAGCUAUGUUCCUGGUGAAGAUGUGGCAGGUAUCUUCCAAAGGAUUUUGUUGUCUUUUACAGUAUACUGGAGAUGGGAUUCAAAGACUUUUUUUUUUUUUUUUUCUUGUCCCCCUCUAGAUUUUCUAGUAACUCCCAGCACAGGAGUGUGAACUUCCAUCAAAACAUAUUAUCAUAAACCAAAGCACUAAAUCCACAGAUGGGGAACUGUGAGAGCUAGCUUCAGGUCCUUAAAAUUGCAGUUGUUGGUGUAUGACAGAGACCCUAAAUAUUGAAUACAAACAUUAGCAUUUACACUGGAAGUUAGAAAUAGAAUCCUCCAAAGGCAAAGCCAUAAGUGACUUGGGGAAGCUGUAGCAACUAUUCCUGUAAGAUCUGGAAUAGUGUGAAGGACAACUUUGGAAGAGUUUAUUUAAAAGCUAUUUUGUAGCAUUUUCCUUUUUUUUUUUCUUUUAUCUUAAGGGGUGGGCAGAAAGGCAGGGGUAUUUUUUCUUGCUGUUUCUGAACCAUGCACACUGAAGCAAGAGCUCAAGUGUAAGACAAAGACUGUUUUUAAAAUGGUUUGGUUGUACUGCCUGCUUGGUGAUAUUUUUUGAAGUACAUUUGCUGAAGAUUUAUGUAAAAUCUAUCUUUUGUCUACUUAAAAUACGUCAAAUGGAUGUACAGGGCAAAAUUUAAUGCAUAUGGGUUUUCAUUAUUUUAAAUCAUUUGCAAUAUAAGUGAUUUACUGUGACAUCAAACAUUUGUUCUUUGGCUGUCCACCAUAAAUUGAGGUCCACCCAAAUUUCCACUCCUAGCUAUAUUUCUGCAUUCCCUCCCCCAGUAUCUAUAACCUCAGUUCCGUGAUUCUUCAUGUAAAUGACUUUCAACAAGGAGAGGAGGAGAACACAUAAUUUGCCUUAAUACAGGUAAUUUUGAAAGAAGAGCGAGACCUUUACAUGAGAAAUAGUUGACAGCUAUGGAAAGGGGAGAACUAAUGCAUGUAGAAGACAAAGUCAUUCCUGAUGAGAGUGGUGAGAGCUACUGAUCAACCAGAUGUGACCAAAUGGACUUUUUGUGCAGUUGAAACUGCCAGGGGUGAUAGACUUCUAUCUUUCGCUUUCUGAGUUUUUUCAUGUCUUUUUAGCAUCGUUACAUUUAUAAUACAAUUAAUCCAACCCCAACCAGUUAAUCUGAGGUAAGCCAGUUUGCCCAAGGUCAUUCUGAAAGUCCAUAGUGCAAAACUGGUGACAUGUGACACCCAGAACUGUGCUCUCAUGACAAACCUUCUCCUAACAGCUGUAAAAGCCUUGAGACACUCAGACUUGUUGAAAGACCUUGUGGGAAACCACAUUCAUUAUAGCUUUUACUGGUUGUGUCAUGUCAGUUAAUAGGACACAGACCUUUGGACCCGUCGGUAGCCUGUAUUUGAAGCCUUCCCAGUUCAGUAGUUACUGAAAAUUGGUGCUACAUGGUAGCUCUUCAGCAGCCUACGCUACAGGGAUUAACCACCUGAACUCAGCCCAGUUUCUCAUCCACGGAUGUCUUCUCAAAACCUACUAAGUUAGCAGACUGUGUUGAGAUCCUAAUUUCUAUCCACUCAAUUGAAAGACAGUUCAGUUCGAACCAAACAUAUUCUUGCAGGCUUCCCCCACCUAUACCACAUAUCUAAGCUUUGCCAUGACUCCUUCUCGCUGCCAAAGGAUUUCACUAUUAUUGCCUACUCAUGCCUUAUUAAAAAGGCAUCCCAAAUUUGAACUAUCUAAAGAUUUGUAGCAAUUCUGAAUGAUAUUAUAAACUUCAGCAACAUCCUGAAGGCAAUCUCGCUUCUGACAUCCAGACUAUCUGCCCAAUCCUACAGCUACAACUGUCUGACAAUCACCAUUUACAUAUUUGAUGUCUUUCCCACAAUGCUAGUCCUAAACAGCCCUGCCAAUGAUCUUAAUCCUGAAGUCAGAGCAGGUUUAGAUGCUGUGGUGGGCCUGCAUGCGCUCAUCUUCAUUCUAGCCUCCAGUGGCUCUACUCCUGCAAGAUCCAAUUCAGAAAAAUGUUAGCACAGCUCUGAUUUAUGUGCAAAAGUGCAAAGGAGAGCAGAAGCUUUUAGUAUCUUGGGAAGUGGUUAGGAAUUAAGGCCAAAGAAAGGACAGUCAUGUCCAUUAUAUCCUUUAAAAAAAAAAAAAAAAAAAAAAAU